GCAGGUGGGGCAUAAUCUGUCAGAGGCCUGGGCAAAUCCUGCAUCAUCCCGUUUCCCCUUUUAGAGGCCCCGGCCCUUAAUCUCCCCAUUUCCUCACCCACGACUGCCUCUUUCGUCGUCCCAUGGCCAUGACUUUACCUUCCUCCCACAGCUAGCUGCCAGAGAAGGCAACCCAG